GGCAGAAGGAAGGCAGUUAGGCUGUUAGGAAGGCAGUUAGGCUGCAGUGAAUUCUACAAAGAGGCUAUGGGAAAGAAACCUGGAAAGUACCCUUGGCUGUGUACAUUUGAGUAAAGAGAGCACUAUAAAAUCAAAAACCAAUGAAAUGGUUUCCAGAACACAGAACUAUUAAGCUUAAGAAAAGGACAGAAGGAACUGAAGAGAGAGGAACUGUUUUGGAGCAUCACACUUCCACCUCAGAAGAAAUAAGGAAGGAAGGAGGAGGGUGUUCCCACGGCUCUUCAACCAGGCCGGCUCUUCAGCCUACAUCCCCAUCUCAUCAAGUAAAAGGGAUUUUUCAACUGGACCAACCAGAUGGUUUAACAGUGCACUCCCACACCAUUCAACUACGCAAGGGAGAUACACUUAACAUAUGCAGUCGUAUAACACCUACUAACAUUUUCAAACAUUAAACCUUUAAAAAAGAGUUCUAAAGAAAUAGAAGCUUGAAGUAUCAUCUCUCAAGUAUAUAGACACUACUUCAUGGUGUGGUAAUAUAUGCAUAUAGAAGCUAGUAAACACCUCCAGGAGAUGCAAAAGGAAUUAGAACUGCCACAAGGUGCAAGCAAAACCUUGAGCUUCUUUAAAAUAUGAAGACUUCGAAGUUAUUUAUCCAAACCAACCUGAUCAUUUCUUAAGAGUGAAUAUACCUUGGAAGACGUGUCCUGCCUUUAGUAGCGUCACAAUGGAUUACAUCCUCUAUAAAGCAGUCUGGGGUGAGAAAAUCGAAUUUGGACACCGUUGAGGAGACUAUUGCAGUCAUCCAAGCUCAAGAUGGUGGAGCUUCAUCCUUGAGAAUAACCAAUGGGGAUAGAUUUAAGAGACACUUAGAGUCUGCAGCCAACAGGGCUGAAUGAGCAGAGAGUUAUGAUUCAGAAGAUCAUCUAAAAUUGAACAGCUGCCACUACUGGCAAUAAGUCUACUGCCAUUUGGUAGAUAACCUUCUUAUCACACAGAAAAAUAUCAGUACAGACAAAUAGACCGCAAAGAAAAUGAGACCAUCAGCAAAGAAGAUAAAGAAGUUUGUACAAAGCAACUUUUUAUAAAUGGAUGGCUGUCAGGCAAAAAUAAAUUUCCUGUGGACAAGACCAAGAGCAAGGCAAGAGGAAAAUAAACAUGUUUAAACUAUUGGAGAGUCCAUAAUUUAAAUAUAAACUCUUCUGUUGAGUGGUAGUGUGCACCGAAUCAGUUCCA
rnacentral:lncRNA from 1 species